rnacentral:rRNA from 1 species
CCUACGGGAGGCAGCAGUAGGGAAUGUUCGGCAAUGGGGGGAACCCUGACCGAGCAACGCCGCGUGAACGAAGAAGUUAUUCGGAAUGUAAAGUUCUUUUAACAGGGAAGAAAGAGAAAGUUGACGGUACCUGAAGCAUAAGCUCCGGCUAACUACGUGCCAGCAGCCGCGGUAAUACGUAGGGAGCGAGCGUUAUGCGGAAUUAUUGGGCGGAAAGGGUGCGUAGAGGGCAUAGUAAGUCUUUUGUAAAAAUGCUGGGCUCCACCCAGUAGGGCAACAGAUACUGCAAAGCUAGAGUAUGCCAGAGGCAAGUGGACCUCCUUGUGUAGCCGUCACUUUCGUACAUAUCUGUCAGCACCCCAGUGGC